rnacentral:rRNA from 1 species
GACGAACGCUGGCGGCGUGCUUAACACAUGCAAGUCGAACGGAAAGGCCCUGCUUUUGUGGGGUGCUCGAGUGGCGAACGGGUGAGUAACACGUGAGUAACCAGCCCUUGACUUUGGGAUAACUUCAGGAAACUGGGGCUAAUACCGGAUAGGAGCUCCUGCUGCAUGGUGGGAGUUGGAAAGUUUCGGCGGUUGGGGAUGGACUCGCGGCUUAUCAGCUUGUUGGUGGGGUAGUGGCUUACCAAGGCUUUGACGGGUAGCCGGCCUGAGAGGGUGACCGGCCACAUUGGGACUGAGAUACGGCCCAGACUCCUACGGGAGGCAGCAGUGGGGAAUAUUGCACAAUGGGCGGAAGCCUGAUGCAGCAACGCCGCGUGCGGGAUGACGGCCUUCGGGUUGUAAACCGCUUUCGCCUGUGACGAAGCGUGAGUGACGGUAAUGGGUAAAGAAGCACCGGCUAACUACGUG